GAACAUUGAAUUUAUAUCUUGAAAGAACUAGCUACAUGUCCAUACUUCUCCACCUUGCUUCUUAAUCAUUUUCUUCAAUAAGUCAAGCUUCUUUCUUUCAGCAAUGGCGCCACCGGCUGAUAAUGAAGUCGUCCUUGAGUUUCGGUUCUUCAAGGUGUACAAAGACAGCCGUGUCCAAUUAGUCUGGCCGGAAUGCCCCAAAGUCCCACCAUCCACUGACCUGAUUACUGGGGUUCAGUCCAAAGAUGUGAUGAUCUUAACUGAACCCCAAGUGUAUGUCCGUAUUUUCUUGCCGAAACUCAAAUCCCCUGACCAAAAACUCCCUCUCUUACUUUUCGUGCAUGGUGGUGGCUUUGUAAUGUUUUCACCCUCUGCUAUUCCCUACCACGUUUUAUGCAACAAAGUAGCAGCUGACGCUAACGUUAUUGUUGUCUCUGUUGAGUAUGGUCUCUUCCCUACCAG
rnacentral:lncRNA from 1 species